GGGUUUGAUCAUGGCUCAGAACGUACGCUGGCGGCACGCCUUAUACAUGCAAGUCGAACGAAGUAGCAAUACUUAGUGGCAGACGGGUGAGUAACAUGUGGGUAUCUUCCCUUUGGUGAGGAAUAACACGAGGAAACUUGUGCUAAUACCUCAUAAGUCUUUACGGAGAAAGCUUUAUGCGCCAAUGGAUGAGCCCGCACUUGAUUAGUUUGUUGGUGGGGUAAUGGCCUACCAAGACUUUGAUCAAUAGCUGAUCUGAGAGGAUGAUCAGCCACAUUGGGACUGAGACACGGCCCAAACUCCUACGGGAGGCAGCAGUAGGGAAUAUUGCACAAUGGAGGAAACUCUGAUGCAGCGAUGCCGCGUGAGUGAAGAAGGCCUUUGGGUUGUAAAGCUCUUUCGUCGGGGAAGAAAAUGACGGUACCCGAAUAAGAAGGUCCGGCUAACUUCGUGCCAGCAGCCGCGGUAAUAC
rnacentral:rRNA from 1 species